rnacentral:rRNA from 1 species
UUCUAUGGAGAGUUUGAUCCUGGCUCAGGACGAACGCUGGCGGCGUGCUUAACACAUGCAAGUCGAGCGAUGAAGCACCUUCGGGUGUGAAUUAGCGGCGAACGGGUGAGGAACACGUGAAGA